rnacentral:rRNA from 1 species
AUUCAGCGGCGGACGGGUGAGUAAUGCCUAGGAAUCUGCCUGGUAGUGGGGGAUAACGUCCGGAAACGGGCGCUAAUACCGCAUACGUCCUGAGGGAGAAAGUGGGGGAUCUUCGGACCUCACGCUAUCAGAUGAGCCUAGGUCGGAUUAGCUAGUUGGUGGGGUAAAGGCCUACCAAGGCGACGAUCGGUAGCCGGACUGAGAGGUUGAACGGCCACAUUGGGACUGAGACACGGCCCAG